rnacentral:rRNA from 1 species
CAGUCGCCGCGGUAAUGCGAAGGGUGCAAGCGUUAAUCGGAAUUACUGGGCGUAAAGCGUGCGUAGGCGGUUUGUUAAGUCUGUUGUGAAAUCCCCGGGCUCAACCUGGGAAUGGCAAUGGAUACUGGCUCGCUAGAGUGUGUCAGAGGAUGGUGGAAUUCCCGAUGUAGCGGUGAAAUGCGUAGAGAUCGGGAGGAACAUCAGUGGCGAAGGCGGCCAUCUGGGACAACACUGACGCUGAGGCACGAAAGCGUGGGGAGCAAACAGGAUUAGAUACCCGAGUAGUCCCUGUCUCUUAUAC